rnacentral:rRNA from 1 species
UUCCGACCUGCACGAAUGGCGUAAUGAUGGCCAGGCUGUCUCCACCCGAGACUCAGUGAAAUUGAACUCGCUGUGAAGAUGCAGUGUACCCGCGGCAAGACGGAAAGACCCCGUGAACCUUUACUAUAGCUUGACACUGAACAUUGAGCCUUGAUGUGUAGGAUAGGUGGGAGGCUUUGAAGUGUGGACGCCAGUCUGCAUGGAGCCGACCUUGAAAUACCACCCUUUAAUGUUUGAUGUUCUAACGUGGACCCGUAAUCCGGGUUGCGGACAGUGUCUGGUGGGUAGUUUGACUGGGGCGGUCUCCUCCUAAAGAGUAACGGAGGAGCACGAAGGUUGGCUAAUCCUGGUCGGACAUCAGGAGGUUAGUGCAAUGGCAUAAGCCAGCUUGACUGCGAGCGUGACGGCGCGAGCAGGUGCGAAAGCAGGUCAUAGUGAUCCGGUGGUUCUGAAUGGAAGGGCCAUCGCUCAACGGAUAAAAGGUACUCCGGGGAUAACAGGCUGAUACCGCCCAAGAGUUCAUAUCGACGGCGGUGUUUGGCACCUCGAUGUCGGCUCAUCACAUCCUGGGGCUGAAGUAGGUCCCAAGGGUAUGGCUGUUCGCCAUUUAAAGUGGUACGCGAGCUGGGUUUAGAACGUCGUGAGACAGUUCGGUCCCUAUCUGCCGUGGGCGCUGGAGAACUGAGGGGGGCUGCUCCUAGUACGAGAGGACCGGAGUGGACGCAUCACUGGUGUUCGGGUUGUCAUGCCAAUGGCACUGCCCGGUAGCUAAAUGCGGAAGAGAUAAGUGCUGAAAGCAUCUAAGCACGAAACUUGCCCCGA